AAAAAAAGGGGGGUCAAAGUCGGCCAAACCAAGUAAUAAAAAAUAAAAAUAUCAAGUUUUAUCCUUAUCUUUAUAUGAGUAUAAAUACAUCCAUAUCCAUUGCCAUAGAAAUAUUUCCUUCAUUUUACAACACACUUAUACACUUAAAAAGAAGGCAAAAACCGAAAUCAAGAAAGGAAAGGAGAAGGAAGAAAGUUUAGCACUUUCAAUUCAUUUCAAUCAAAGAUCUUCAAGUUUUACGGUAAGAUACCUUCUAUGCUUAUGUGGUAUGAUUUUCAUGGUAAUAUUUAUGCUUAAACUAUGCAUGAAAAACCACAAUAUGAUUAUGGUGGACAAGUCCACAAAGUUAGAUAUCUAUUUAUGCCUUAGGACAAGUCCGAAGGGCACCGGCAUGUCGGAAUAUGGAAGUAUGGGUUUGAUUGCUUUCUUUGGUGUAGUAUUAUCAUGAUAAAUGUUCAAGCAUGGUAUCUUACUGAGUAUUUCCUUAUACUCAAAGUAUGUUAUGCUAAACUUUUCAGAUCCAUGAUCAUUUGAAUUGAUGGAAGUUAGUUGGCUUACGCGAUGAUGGAUUAAGGACAACGAAGUUUUGUACCGAAAGUUUUCUUUUGUGUGUUUUGUUCGAUGGCAGUUUUUACAUCUAUUUUUCUUAUGGUAUUAUGUAAAAAUAUGAACAUGGAAUGAUGUAUUAUGGUAUUACUAGUAAAUUUU
rnacentral:lncRNA from 1 species